rfam:Ictidomys tridecemlineatus contig100964, whole genome shotgun sequence.
GGGGCUGUAGCUCAGUGGCAGAGCGUUUGUCUCACACGCAUGAGACACUGGGUUCGAACCUCAGCAGCACAU